rnacentral:lncRNA from 1 species
CUUGGCUGCGGGCGCAUCUCGGCCCCGGACGCGGUUGCGAAAAGGCUGGUCGUGGCCGUCGCCUGCAUUCUCGGUCCUUUCACCCCUUCCCUCUCGCUGUGUCUCGUCUCCUUUCUUUUUUCUCGCCCUCGCCGUGUGUCGCGUUCUUCUUUUUGGCCUGUCUCUCUCUUUUUUUUCUUGUUUUCGUCCUUUUGGCUCUCGCCGUGACUGCCGUUAUCCUUGUGGUCCCAAACCUCU